GUUUACGCUCGCGUUCCUGAGUCCCAGGCCCCCAAGCACGACGGAUUUUUUUGAAAAUUGUCAUGUUUGAGGGUCAAUAUCUCGGAAAAUACUGAACCAAAUCAAAAAAGGUUGAAGAACUUACAAACUAACUUUUUGUGCUCUUUCCAAAUCCGUAAAUAUCCCACAAGUGAUAUAGGCACUUUAACAUCAUAUAGUAGAGAUUCCCGUUAGUUGUUUAGCUCGUCACUCGUGUUAUCCCCAACGCCAUGUAUAUUAUUUGCAUUGAGCAAUAAAAAAUAAUCGAUUUUGCAUUUAGCCAGAUAUCUCUGGCCAGAUAUAUGACCUAUAUUUACAUUAAACGUCAGCUUAUUCCAAUCUACAACAAGCCAGCUUUCAUUUAUUAUUAAGUUAAAGAAACUAAUUUAAUUAACAGCAAAAUAUUCAACAAAAUUUAUAAAUUUUGUAGCAUAUGCAGUAUUCCAACAGUAUUGUGUUUCGGAAUAUCUCAGUGUAUGGAAUGUAUGGUGCAGUUUAUUCCGACGUAUUCUGCGCAGAAUGCUACGAGUAGUCCGGAAAUAUUCCGAGCGAAUACCUUACGUGGUAUGGGGCUGCCCGCAGGCUAAGAAUAUCCCCGAAUAUUACUAAUAUUCCAGCCAGUAUUCCGAGGUAUAGAGGUCGGAUUAUUAAAGCCUAAAAUACUAAAUUAGAUUGUAUACUGCAUAUAAAACUACUUUAUAUACCAUUGGCAUUGCGACAGCAAUGUUUUACGAAAUGAAAACUACUUACAAAUAUAGGAAUUCGCAAAGCAUUAAAACACUUCCACAAGUCGAUCUCGAAUAGCGAGCGGCGAAGAUUUGCAUGGUACUAGUAUUUUGUUAUAAUUGAACACAAAGUUAAUGUUUGCUGCCUGUUUUCAGUUUAGUUCUUUCAGUACAGCCUACUGCAGGUUCACUGGCGACUUUUUGAGUUAAUUUUCUUCAAUACGACGUUUUGGUUAGUUCCAGAGAAAUCGUUUGAUGAACCACAGCACAUCU